rnacentral:rRNA from 1 species
UACAGAGGGUGCAAGCGUUAAUCGGAAUUACUGGGCGUAAAGCGUGCGUAGGUGGGCAUUUAAGUCGAUUGUGAAAUCCCCGGGCUUAACCUGGGAAUUGCCUUCGAUACUGCAUGGCUUGAGACCGGAAGAGGUUAGUGGAACUGCGAGUGUAGAGGUGAAAUUCGUAGAUAUUCGCAAGAACACCAGUGGCGAAGGCGGCUCACUGGCCCGUAACUGACGCUGAGGCACGAAAGCGUGGGGAGCAAACAGGG